UACAGAGGUCUCCAAGCGUUGUUCGGAUUCAUUGGGCGUAAAGGGUGCGUAGGCGGCGCGGUAAGUCGGGGUGUGAAAUCUUGGAGCUUAACUCCGAAACUGCAUUCGAUACUGCCCGUGCUUGAGGGACUGGAGAGGAGACUGGGAAUUUACGGUGUAGCGGUGAAAUGCGUAGAUAUCGUAAGGGAAGACCAGUGGCGAAGGCGGGUC
rnacentral:rRNA from 1 species